UGCAACCGAAUGUACUAUGGGAGCAAGCUUGGAAGAGAGAGAGUAAUCCCAGCUGGUUAGAUUAGGAUGCUGCCUAAAGAAGUGGCAGCACCUGUCACACUUUGAACAAGGGUGCGCUUUCAAAGGAAGAUAAUAGGCGGGAGAGAAAAAUUCACAUAGGCAGCAGAUUGUGAGUAAAGAAAAGAAGACAACAUGUAUGCAGAAUGGAAAUGGAAAUUCAGUAUAACUGAACAUUGAAAAUGGCAACAGAGUGGAAUAAUGAAGUCUAGAAAAGAGACUCCCUGCAGACUGCUAAAAGGACCUCAUUUGAGUAAACUGAGUAUGUGAAUGCCCUAUAGAGCUGUUAUGGAGAAAGAGUGUGAUGGUUAAUACUGAGUGUCAACCUGAUUAGACUGAAGCGUGCAAAGUAUUGUUCGUGGGUGUGUCUGUGAGGGUGUUGCCAAAGGAGAUUAACAUUUGAGUCAGCGGACUGGGAAAGGCAGACCCACCCUCAAUCAGCUGCCAGCACGGCCAAAAUAAAAGCAGGCAGAAGAAUUUGCAAGACUAGACUGUUUUAGUCUUCCGGCCUCCAUCUUUCUCCCGUGCUGGGUGCUUCCUGCCCUCAAACACCAGACUCCAACUUCUUCAGUUUUGGGACUGGGCUGGCUUCCCGGCUCCUCAGCUUGCAUAUGGCCUAUUGUGGAACCUCACCUUGUGAUCAUUUUCCUGAUCAAAAAAGUUGAUAGUAUGCUCAACAUCAUGAGACCUCAAGAGGAAGUGAGAAGAUCAACCCCAUCUCAGUGACUGCGUUCUCUAAUUCUCUUGUGCAAUGGAAAUGCUAGCAUGAGAGAAGGCGCCAGCACCACCUCCAAAUCUGCAGACAUCCACCCUUUGAUGUAGAAAAUCACACGGACCAUGUCACAUGAAAUCCACAAUUCGUAUUAUUCAUUUGAGAAUAUAUCAUGAUCAGAAAGCAUAUUCAUAUUCAAAGUUUAAGGAACUGUCUUUUUGUAUAACUUAACAAAGCAUACACAUUCCAAAAAUAAUGACACAAACUUGCUUUAUCCAACAUUCCUUGACUAUCACUAAAAGUAGUAAAAUUGGCAUGUAUUCUUCUUUCUGCUUCAGCUGCUGGUUGUAAACCCUACCUGAACACCUACAGACAUAAUCUGUGGCUUUAUACUAGAGCUUGUUAUAAACAAACAGUAUAACAGGCACCAUAAUUUUCCACAAGGAAAAAUUGUAGGAGACAUACUUGGUUCUCACUUAACUUCAGAAACAUCAACAGAUACCCAAGACUCUUCAAAAACUGAUUCACUGUCUUGAGAAUAAGUUGCAAUUAAAUAGAUUCAUUCAUAUGUAUGCACUAUUGUAUUGAAAACUGGAAAGGCUUUGGAGUAGCAGAAACAAGUAAAAGAGGAAAGAUUUUGCUAGCGAAUGUGAAUUGUACUGAUGGCCAUUCUGGAUUUAUUUUAGAAAGCAAUGUAUCAAGAGGGCAAUAAGAAAGAAAUCUAUGUAUAUUUUUGUACUUAUAUGGUUUGUGUAUUCAUUAUUCACCUGUUUAUUGGGAAAUGUAUGUUUUUAUGGAAGUUACUAUAAAAAUUGCACAGAAAAUAUAAAUACAGAAAAUCUAAUUUGGUGAUAAUUACUAUGGGAAACUUUCUAGCUGAAAGUAAUGAUAGCUAAUUUUUAUUAGGUUACUGAAAUUUAGAUACUGUUUCUCAUUCCUGUGAAGAAUCUAAAUGACCACUUAGCAUGAAGUAGAGAUCCAACAAAUGUUUGUAAUACAUUCUAAAUGCCACACAACACAGAUGCCAUUGGAAAACUUUUCAAGUUGUAUGUAACACAGAUAUAUAAAGAGAUAUCUCCUAAGAUCUGAACAAAUAAUAAUAACUAUUUUUAAGUUUAAACUAUUAAAUUAUACAUGUAGGACACUAGAAGGAAUACCCUGAG